rnacentral:rRNA from 1 species
GUAGUCCACGCUGUAAACGAUGGGAACUAGGUUUGGCGGGAUUUGACCCCUGCCGAACCGGAGCUAACGCAAUAAGUUCCCCGCCUGGGAAGUACGGUCGCAAGACUAAAACUCAAAGGAAUUGACGGGGGCCCGCACAAGCGGUGGAUCAUGUGGUUUAAUUCGAAGCAACGCGAAGAACCUUACCUGGGUUUGACAUCUCUGGACCGACGUAGAGAUACGUUUUUCGUAGCAAUACGACCAGAUGACAGGUGCUGCAUGGCUGUCGUCAGCUCGUGUGGUGACAUGUUGGGUUAAGUCCCGCAACGAGCGCAACCCUUGUCCUUAGUUGCCAGCAUUCAGUUGGGCUCUCUAAGGAGACUGCCGUGGUUAACACGGA